GCCCGGGUGUUGGAACUGGUAGACAACCGCGACUCAAAAUCGCGUGGAGUAAUCCGUGGGAGUUCGAGUCUCCCCCCGGGCACCA
rnacentral:tRNA from 2 species